rnacentral:rRNA from 1 species
AAAUUGAAGAGUUUGAUCAUGGCUCAGAUUGAACGCUGGCGGCAGGCCUAACACAUGCAAGUCGAACGGUAACAGGAAACAGCUUGCUGUUUCGCUGACGAGUGGCGGACGGGUGAGUAAUGUCUGGGAAACUGCCCGAUGGAGGGGGAUAACUACUGGAAACGGUAGCUAAUACCGCAUAACGUCGCAAGACCAAAGAGGGGGACCUUCGGGCCUCUUGCCAUCGGAUGUGCCCAGAUGGGAUUAGCUAGUAGGUGGGGUAACGGCUCACCUAGGCGACGAUCCCUAGCUGGUCUGAGAGGAUGACCAGCCACACUGGAACUGAGACACGGUCCAGACUCCUACGGGAGGCAGCAGUGGGGAAUAUUGCACAAUGGG